AUUCGAUAACUGUGGUUUGUCUCUAUUGAUACAGGAACGUACAGUACUGUCCUGAACUGGUGAGAAAUUCCUUGAUUAAUGAAAUACCACCUAGGGAUAGGGAGGUAGGACAAUCAAUUGUUUUUGCUUUUGUUCGGUAAUGUGUUGCUAAUUGUUAGGGGAGGCUAGGGAUAGCAAGCUGGUAAUUAGUAAUAGGCUCUUUUCGCCGAGGGAUCGGGUUAAGAGUAGGCCAAGAAAGUUUACAUAACAAUUAGAUAAUCAAGCACAUUAAAAAAGAGGAGUAGAUAAGAGGGAGCGGAUAAGAUGAAAUUUUCAACCCCCAACAACUUCAUUCAUCCAUAGUCUUUUUCGUCAAUUGAAUCAAACACAUUGCAUGUUUAUUUUCUGUCCUUGCAUUCCAAACAAUUAAUUUUUCUCUACAAGUCUUACGAUCUCAAUUCACACGAACGAUAAGUCCUUUCGAGUCUCUUGGGAAGAACGAUAUCGGGUAUUGCCGAUUAUAUUACUUGAACGAUCUGGUACGCUUGCCAGUGAGUCAACAGGUAACUAUCCUUAUUGUACGAUGAUGAUUGAGAUCCUGAUUUAUAUGUUUCUAAUAGAUUGAAACAAAUGCCAUUGUCUCUUGUUUUUCAUGUUCAACACACGCCACUGUACUCCACUGUUCAUUGAUGACUAAAUUUUGUUUUCUCUCUUGGCAGAUCUAUAGAUAACUUUGUUUUGGGUGUGUUUGAUUUUUAUUUUUUGAGAACUGAUUUUAGUUCCUACACAAAAUUGGUGCAAUAUGAAAUUGUUUUAGAAAAUAGUUUUUAAAAUCAGAAAACGAGAAGGAAAUCUUACAUAAUUUUCUUGUUCCUGCAAAAGGUGAUUUGCUAAAAGAAAAAGUGUUUUUCAACGCCCGACCACUACAGAGAAGAGAACACCCUUUUCCCUUUCAGAUCUCGAUUUUGCCUUCUUCUCUUUCAUUUUCUCUCUUUCUCCAACCAGUUUGAAAUCGCUUCUACUUCACCCCACAAAAUCUUAUCAUUUUCAAUUUCAUCCUAAUUCCUUCUUGGAUCGCCUUUUUAUACUCUCCUCUCCUUCUCCAUGGUUGUUAUCUUGUAAGAGCUCGAGCUGAUUAUGAUUAUAUCAUCAAGCUUCUCCUAAUCGGCGAUAGUGGUAAUUUAUUCAUAUUUUUUUAAUAUUUCUUUAAGUG
rnacentral:lncRNA from 1 species